GGAAGAGCCAUGAAAGAGCACACCACCAUGAGGAUGGCCACCCAGAAGAGAUCCAGGUGAUAUCCAGCUCCCUUCUGUAGAAAGAGCAAUAUGCUCUUCACUUGGACGGUAUUCAGAAUAUGCAGACCAAAGAUCUAAAAGCAACCUUGAGAAGGAAUUGAAAGAAAGAAACUUCAGCAACUGCAUCUCUUGUCUUCUAAAGUCUUUCCACUCCUUCUACACAAAACGCAAGGGGAGAGAUUUCAAGAGACUCCAGCUGCGUAGAGCAGCUCAUUGAUAAAAAUCAUGUAUAAUCAAGAUUACCUAAGAAAUACUGACAUCUUAAACACUGAGAAUUGAACGGCAAAGCAAAGGAUUAUCUUAGUUUCACUCUGCAGCAUUCAUCAUUGUGGGAAGGAAAAUUUGGCUCAGAUGACGCUCAUAUCUUAUACCAAUACUGGGCUAACAACAGUAGCCAUAGAAGAGGUGUAGGUGCCCAAGAAGAGGAUGAAAGACAUGAGAGUAAUGUCAGGGACAAAAUCACAGUUGUUCC